rnacentral:lncRNA from 1 species
UAGUUAUGGCACCCUCAACGGAGUUGGGGUGACAUAUUGUUAUUCAACGUUUCUUUUUAUUCUUUUUUUUAUUAUUAUUUUUCUUCCACUAUUUUUGUCUGGAGCAGUUCUCAGAAUAGAAUGGACCAAAGUUGGUGGAACUAUGGUAUAAUGUUGACCACCAUGCGAAGUUGUCCCUCUGACUUUGGGAUGGUCAAGAUGGCCACCGUUACCAUGGAAACCACAAAAAUGCGAAAAAUAUCAAAGUGUUCCAAAGUGGAAGAAACUUCACAGGAAUGGUAACUGACAUGUGCUGAUUUACAGUUUAACUUCGGAAUUUUCAAAAUGGCCGCCGUUACCAUGGAAACUCCAAAAAUGUCAAAAUUUCAAAAAGCUCCAAAAUUUAUAAAACUUUUAAAAAAAUUGUUAAUUUGCAAGUGUUAAUUUGCACUGUUUGACUGAGGUAUUUUCAAAAGGGCUGCUGUUACCCUGGCAAUGGGGGAAGGGUGUCAUCCGUUAUUGCUAGCAAUUACAAAUCUAGUUAUUAUU